rnacentral:tRNA from 1 species
ACCUGACUGGCUCAGUCAGUGGAGCAUGUGACUUUUGAUCUCAGGGUUGUAAGUUCAAGUCCCAUGUUGGAUG